rnacentral:rRNA from 1 species
UACGUAGGGUGCAAGCGUUGUCCGGAAUUAUUGGGCGUAAAGAGCUCGUAGGCGGUUAGUCGCGUCUGCUGUGAAAACUCGGGGCUUAACUCCGGGCCUGCAGUGGGUACGGGCUGACUAGAGUGCGGUAGGGGAGACUGGAAUUCCUGGUGUAGCGGCGAAAUGCGCAGAUAUCAGGAGGAACACCGGUGGCGAAGGCGGGUCUCUGGGCCGUAACUGACGCUGAGGAGCGAAAGCGUGGGGAGCGAACAGG